rnacentral:tRNA from 1 species
UCAAAGGUAGUUUAAAUAAAAUAUUAAUUUUUGGGGGAUUAAAGAUGAAUAGUCAUUUCCUUUGAA